GGGCACGCGAGGCGGCGGCGGCUCCGCAAGCGUUGCCGAAUUAUUCAUUAUUAAAGGAAUGGACGUGUCUCUUUUACUAAGUUUUUAUCUCCUUUGAGGAGGGCCGGUCUUGCCCUGGAUCUCAGCUUCUUGCAAAAUCUAGGUUAGAACCGUGCAGGGGCAGCCGCCGCGAUCACUCGCCCGCCACCCAGCACCCUUGCCCCAGGGCCGCCAGCGGGCAACUCGUCUCCUGCCCGCAUCCCACCUCCGCUCGCCAACCCGCGCCCUCUGCCCUGGGCGCGCAACCUGCCUUGCCCGGGGCCGCCCCUGCGCUCUCCGGACCCCCUCUCGCCGCUGUCAGCGCAAAGUGACUGUCGCUGCACUCACCUUUUCUAGGACAUGGUGGGGAGGCUGGGGCGGGGGAAGGGGAACGGCUAGACUCCCGCCGCCGCUGCUGCCGCCGCCACCAGCAAGUCCAAUAUUGGCUGAUCGGCGGUGAGGAUGGAGAGGAUGAUAAUCCCGGCAGUGGCAGUCGCCCUGCUGACGGUGGGUAGAGCAAUAGUGCUGUUACCCUACAAGAGGCGGCGAGGCAGCGGCGCCAAAUCGCGCAGAGGGGGACGCGGGCACCCGCCCGCCCCCAGCGGCGGCGGCCGGGCCUCUGGCGGGCCCCUCUCCCGGGGCUGCGCGUCCGCUCGGCGUUGACAGCGGCGUCCCUGGGAGCCGGGAAGUCCGGCAGGAGGAUCCCGCGCCCGCCGCUCCGCAGCGCCACUCUCCGCGCCCCCUCCCCGGGCCCUGGGUGGCCGGUGACAGCUCCGGCGGCCGAGCGCGUGUGUGAGGGGGCGGUCGCAGGGGGAGCCUGCGCCCCCCUCCCCGGGUCACGCCCUCACGAGCGGGAGGAGGCGGCACCGCGUCCGGCCACCCGCGGGUGGGAAACGGGCAGGGGCGCCGGCAGCCGCCCUCCCACUACGGCCACUGACAACCUGGAGGCCAAAGGAAAACUGAGCCCAAAUGCACGCACCCCCUUCAGCCCUGCCCGCAGCCCUCCAAAGUCCGGCCCUGACCUCGCGCCCGGCUUCAGGUGCAGUUCCCACCUGCGGGGGGAGGCGAGGGCUGGGGACCUCGCGCGGGGGGCGGGAGGGAAAAGUUUUCUUUUCCUGCUCCUCGGCUGCCCACCCCGCCAGGCUGCUCCUCUCCCCGCCCCUCUCGGGCUCGCCGCGCCUCUGCCCCACCCCCGCCGUGGGGGGGCGCCGAGGAGGGAGCGGGCGUCUGUGCGCGGAGGCGUGCGGGGAGCUGGCUGGGGCGCUGCGGUCGCGACCGGUCCCCUCGCUCUGACGGCGGCUCAGACGCCCGCGGAGGCGGCUCGGCGGGGCAAGCCGAGGAAGGGGCCGAGAGCCGGGACCCCUCCUCCUCCGCUCGCGGCGCGCCGCGCGCCCCCGCGUCUCCUGGCGCGCCCCCGCGCCCUCGUGCCCGCUCGGGCAGACACCUACGCAGACGCGAAAGUGAAAGGGGGGCGACUGGGCCCGGCAGGCGGGCGGCCGGCGGCGCGCGGGCACGCGGCAGGGGACAGAGGAUGGAUGGGUGAACCCGGAUCCCGGGAUUCUCCCGCGCCCGCUGCCCCUCUGCGGAGCCUCCCCGGAGUCCCACGCCCCCACCCCGGCCACGGAGAUCACCACGUCAGGAGAUAUGUAUGCGUGUGCAUGUGUGUGCGCGCGUGUUCACGCGCGUGUGCGAGGAUGGUGAAAAAGAGCUGAAUUACAUAGGACAAUAAGUUUUUGAGAAGCCAACUGGGAAACAGAAGAAGGAAGAUGUCACCAGACAAAAGAAGUCUAAUGGGAGGAAUCCGUGGAAUUUUCUUUUGCAUGCUUGUGUAACACUCGUGAAGCAGCAAAAGAAGAUCCACGUUAUUCCAGAAAUUAAUGCCAGCGAAGUCAAUCGUGUACAUCAAGUUAGCACAAUUUCUUUCUGAUGGUCCUGAAAAUAUAGGGGGACUUGGAGUUAACACCUGUGAUGCAGAAACUAAUCUGCCAUUCAUUUGAUGUGCCAUGUUGGUCAAAUAUGUUAAGCCCACACUUCCUGACUUGUUCUUCAUGAAAUGGGAAUAAUGCAUUCAUUUAUUUAUUGAGCAUCUACUAUGUGCUAGGUACUCUUCUGGGAUUGGAGAAAUAGUAGCAAACAAACUAAAUUACCACCACCAUGGAGUUUACAUCCAAGUAGAGAAAGCAUACAAAAGCUACAUCUUGUCAUAUGGCAAAAGUGCUAUGGGGAAAAUUAAAGCAGAGUAAGCGGGGUGAGGGGGAGAGUAGGAGAUGGUGUACUAUUUUUUUUGAGUAGUCAAGGGAGAAUUCUGAAUAGGUAACAUUUGAGGGAAAACUUGAACAAAAUGAGGGAGGAAGCUAUGUAGAUAUCAGAAGAGAGUACGUGUCAAGAAAAAGAGAACACAUGUAAAAAAACCUGAAAAAUUAAUAAUUUCUUUUCGUCUACAUUAUAGGGUUGCUGUGAGGAUCAAAUGAAAUAAUAUAUGUGAUCUGUAUGUACGUACGUGUGUGUGUGUGUGUGUGUGUGUGUGUGUGUGUAUUUAGAGACAGGGUGUCACUCUGUUGCUCAGGCUGGAGUGCAGUAUUAUAAUCUUAACACACUGCAGCUCCAAACUUCUGGACUCAAACGAUCCUUCCACCUCAGCCCUCCUAGUAGCUGGGACUACAGGUAUGCACCACCAUACCCACUUAAUUUUUUAAUUGUUUAUAGAGACAGGGUCUUGCUAUAUUGCCCAGGCUGGUCUUGAACUCCUGGCUUCAAGCCAUCCUCCCACCUCCUCCUCCCAAAGUGCUGGGAUUAUAGGCAUGAGCCACCAUGCCUGGCCUGAUCUAUAUAUUUUUAAGCAUUGAAUUCAUUUUGCUGCUUUUGUGGUUACUAUUUUUAUAGCUCAUUGUUGCAAAGUGAACUCUUUUAUGUCUCAUUAAAAGAGAGAAAUUCUCUGACAGAGAACUUAAAGAAUGUGUACCAACUGGCUAUCAUCUUAAGGUUCAGUAGUGAAAAUACACUUUAUCUGUACUUUCAGAGCACUUAUAAAUUACUGGAAGAUGUGUGUGUAAAAUAGAGCACAGUAUAAGAGAAAAUAACACAAAGCAAGUGUCAAGUUGAUGCAGCAGUCUAGUGAAUCUUCUCUGAGAUUUGAGAAUUCAGUGAUUCUUAUGACAUAAGAGAUAGAUUUCUCUAUUUAGGAAUUCUUCUUACAUCAGAUUUUCCUCUCCCUGUCUCCUUCUCUUUCCUUUAUUUCUUGCUUUCCUGCCUUUUACAUGCACAUUUUGUGAUGGUUUAGAAGAAGAUCACAAACAGUAAAUGGUGGUUGAGAAAGAGGAACUUGUAACAUUGGCAUGAAUAUAGCUAAGAACACAUUUCUUAAUGUUAUAUUCAAACACUAUUAGGUAAUUACAUGACAAGUUAAGUGACAGGCAACUUUUAUAAUUUUCUCAGAUAAACAGGGAUGGGGAAGUCAUGGUUCUUUGCUUCUGUUCCUCUAAUAUUGGGGAACAGCUGACUUGAGUAUGGAAACAUUCUUGCCACCUAUUUGUAUUUGUUUUUUGGUUUGUUUUUGGUUUUGAGGCAAAGUCUCCCUCUAUCACCCAGGCUGGAGUGCAGUGGCACGAUCUCGGCUCACUGCAACCUCUGCCUCUGGGGUUCAAGAGAUUCUCCUGCCUGAGCCUCCUGAGUAGCUGGGAUUACAGGCGUGCACCACCACGCCUGGCAAAUCUUUGUAUUUUUAGUAGAGACAGGGUUUCCCUAUGUAGGCCAGGCUGGUCUUGAACUCCUGGCCUCAGGUAAUCUGCCUGCCUCAUUAUGGGAUUACAGGGAUGAGCCACCGUACCCGGGCUGUAUUUGUUUUAAUAUACAAGUGGAAUAAAUAUUCAAAAUCCUUUGUGAAGUAAGGCAGGGUGUAUAGAAACAUAUAAACAACACACUUUGGAAACAGGAAAACAGAACUGAAAGAAUGUUUAUAAAGGUGCACAAUGAAAGAGCAAUUCCACAGAGGGAUUGUUUAGAUUAGUGAAAUACUCAUGCCUGGGGUAAGUGACAUAAUGCAUGUUUGUGUAUAUGACUAUUAUGUAUUUAAAAUAUCAUUGAAAAUUAUAAAUAUAUUCCCCAUCCUUGACACUAACCCAUACCAAGAUCUGAAAAUCAGAACCUCUUUUGUAAUGAUUUGUAGACAGUAAAUUCUACAUUCUUUCAUUGAUUCAUUUAUUUGUUACCUUAAGUUCAAGGCUUGCAAUGCUUUCUGAGCAUCUGCUGUAUAACUUUGGGGUCAUGGUUUUAUAGUGCCUGGGAAAAGAAACAGGGCUAGAGAUAUAUAGAGCACUGGGGUUUUAAUUGCUUUAGUUGGCAAAAAGAAAAGGAUUUCUGUCUGAGUUCUCCUAGGUCUCUUUUCUCAAGUUUACACCAAGCGCUACAUGCACUGACCUCCCAUCCCCUAUAAAUAAUUCACAAGAGAUUCAUGAUUUUUAAACACUGGGAUGCUUAAGGCACAUCUGGGGUGCUUGCUACAAAUGCAGUGACCCUGAUUCAGUAUGUGUGGGGUGCUGCCCAGAGAAUCUGUAUUUUAAAUAAGGACCCAGAUGCUUCUGAUGCAGGUGGUCUGUGGACCACACUGGGAGAAACACUGUUAAGACAAAUUUACUCAAAGGUAAAGAAGUCUUUAGAGAAACUAAAUGUUGAAGUGAGUGGCAAAUGGUUGCAAGGUGGUUCUGCUUGAGCAGGAGACCUAGAAUCCUGUGAAGUUGGUGGAGGCAGAGGAAAGAUUUUAGUAAAGAAUUUUUAUAACAUUUUAAUAAAGAAUUAUGAGCUGAUUUAGUUAGAAGGAACUAUGGCGGGUAUUAGAGAAAAGAACAUUGGUUGAUAAAGUUAGACGGGCCUUGAAGGCAAGGGGACGAUUUCUCCCAGGUAGAUAUGGGGCCCAGAGGAGGGACAUUACUAAGAAAUGGUUCUGGUUAGUAUAGUGACACACCAAAGUACUCUAAAACUAAUUAAUAGUUGUUUACAGUUGUGCCCAUGGAUUAGGAAUGUGGAUUGAGCACAUGGGGGUUAGCUAGUCUCUGCUAUAGGAUAUUUGAGACCUCAAUUGAGAAGACUCAAAGGCUAGGAGUGACUCAAAGGAUGGGGUUUGGAACCAUCAGCAAGCACCUUCAUUGAUAUUCCUGACACCUGGGCUGCACUGGUUUGAAAAUCAGGACUGACGACUGCAGUGUCCACACAUUGGGCUUUCUAUGUGGUGUGGCUUCCUCAAAAUAUGGUGGCCUUGGGGCAGUUGACUUUUUACAUGGUGGCUCAAAGCUCUAAGAGCAUGAGUGUUCUGGUGAACAACAUGGAAACUGCAUUAUCAUAAGACUUAUGGUCUAGUCUCAGAAGUCACACAGCCUCACUUCUGCAAUACUGUAUUGAUUGAAGCAGUCGCAAGCCCACCUAGAUUCAAGGAGAGGGAAAUUAAACACUUCCUGAUGGGAUAGUGGCAAUGUCACAAAGAGAAGAGCACAUGGUAUGAGGAAUAUUGUUGUGCCAUCUUUGGGAAAUAAAAUUUUUAUAGAAUUUAUAAAUUUAUAUAAAUAUAAAAUUAUAUAAUUUUAUAGAAUUUAUAGAUUAUAGAAGGAAUCUGGAGAGUUGAGUGAUGGGAAGAAUGGGAAAAAAUGGAUCAAUCAAUUGUGGAAAGUAUAUUCAAUGCAAUACUAUACAGCAGUGAAAAUGAGUUAACUACCACUACAUACAUGAAUGUGGAUGAAGCUUAGAAGAAAUACUGUGUGUUGUUAAAAGUUUCAAAAACGUUUCAUGCUACCAGUUUUAUAAACUUCAAAUUUGCUAAAAUAAGCAACACAAUUUUAUCAUUUAGGAAUACCUAUAUAUGAGGGGUUUUCAAAAAGUUUUUGGGGCUGGUUUACUCUUUCCAACUACACUUUAAGAUAAUCCCAGGGAGGAUGCUCCUUUAAACAGUUUUUAGCCUGACAUCUCUCUCUUAGGCUCCAGGAUGAUAUUAGACUCUUCUGUUCUGCUCCAUUAGGUCAACCCAACAUAUCUAAAAACCAAAUUCAAGAAAUUCCUUCAUUCUUCCAGUUCCUCAGGUUAGGCCUCUUCCCUCUUCAUAAUUUCAGUUCCUCAGGUUAGGCCUCUUCCCUCUUCAUAAUUUCUCCUGAAUGUCUGCAUCUAUACUUUCUGUUUUAUUCUCAUUGUCAUAGUCCAGAACAGAUCCAGGUUUAGAUCCAGGUUUAGACUCUCUUUCAGACAGUGGCACCAUGCUUGGCCAGCGGUCAUCUUUUGGUGUAUCAAGUUGGUGAAUGCUCAUCUGCUUGCUUUCAAGCUUCUAAGAUUUUGUUGACAUAUCUAAUGUGCUGUUGUCUGUGCUCCUAUUCUUUAAGCCUUAGGAGCUUUCUCCUCUGUGACCCUGUUAAUGUAAUUUUGUAGAGUUUUCUAAGCAGGCAGAGGUAAAUAUAUGCAUUCAACUUGCCAUCUUUAACAAAAAGUACCCAUAUACCCAUAUACUGUUUGAAAUAUUUUACAAUAUUAUUAAUGACUGCAUAGUAACUCCUGCUCUUCUUCUUCUUAUAAUUUUUAUUUUUAUCUUUUAGUUCCAUUUUCCACAAGCUUUUUGAAGUCUCCUUGUAUGUGGUAUGACCCUUAAGAAAAUGCAAGCCGAUUAAAUAAAGAAAACAAAGUUUGGGAUAUUGGUGAUCUCUGGGGGAUACGGAUGGGAAAAUGAAAGAACAGAGAAGAACACACGGGAAAUUUGUAGGUUCCAGCAGUGCUCUGCUUUUUAGAUGGGGGGUGGAUUCAUGGGUUUUCAUCCCAUUCUUUAUUCAUUUACUACUAUUUUACACAUGUUACCUGAGUGAUUAAUGUACUUAUUCAUUCAACAAAUAUAUAUUGAGAGCCUAGUAUAUGUCUGACACGUGUUAGCCAGUGAGAAUUGAACGAUGAUUAAAAUAGUCAUGGCUCCUGACUUUACAGAAGGGAUUUAUGAUAAAGAAAUACACAGGAGAGGAAACAAAUAGGGAAUGACACACAGUGAGAUAAGUCCUUUUAUAGGAGGACAACGGCGGUGAGAGGCACAUGUCCCAG
rnacentral:lncRNA from 1 species